rnacentral:rRNA from 1 species
GACGAACGCUGGCGGCGUGCUUAACACAUGCAAGUCGAACGCAGUGGCGAACGGGCGAGUAACGCGUAAUCAACCUGCCCUUCAGAGGGGGACAACAGUUUGAAACUACUGCUAAUAUCGCAUACUGCAGGAGGGGAUUGCGUCUGAUUAGCUUGUUGGAGGGGUAACGGCCCACCAAGGCGAUGUUAAGUCGCCGGCAAGAGAGGAUGAACGGCCACAAUGGGACUGUGACACGGCCCAGACUCCUACGGGAGGCAGCAGUGGGGAAUCUUCCGCAAUGGACGAAAGUCUGACGGGGCAACGCCGGGUGAGUGAUGACGGCCUUCGGGUUGUAAAGCUCUGUUAUGCGGGACGCGGUACCGGAAUAGAAAGCCACGGCUAACUACGUGCCAGCCGCCGCGGUAAUAC